rnacentral:rRNA from 1 species
GACGAACGCUGGCGGCGUGCUUAACACAUGCAAGUCGAACGAAGUGGCGAACGGGUGAGUAACGCGUAAUCAACCUGCCCUUCAGAGGGGGACAACAGUUGGAAACGACUGCUAAUACCGCAUACUGAAGGAGGGGAUUGCGUCUGAUUAGCUAGUUGGAGGGGUAACGGCCCACCAAGGCGAUGAUCAGUAGCCGGUCUGAGAGGAUGAACGGCCACAUUGGGACUGAGAAACGGCCCAGACUCCUACGGGAGGCAGCAGGGGGGAAUCUUCCGCAAUGGACGAAAGUCUGACGGAGCAACGCCGCGUGUAUGAAGAAGGCCCUAGGGUUGUAAAGUACUUUCAGUCGGGAGGCGGUACCGGAAUAGAAAGCCACGGCUAACUACGUGCCAGCAGCCGCGGUAAUUC